GAGGGGAGAGACCCCCGGGGCUGGGGAGCUGGGGGAGCCUGGGACCCGCACGGAGAUGUCCGCCCUCCUCCUCCUCCGCCGCCGGGCGCCCCCCAGCAGCCGGGGCUGGGGCAGGUCUGUGAGGCGCCGGCGGGGAGCCCCUUCCACAUUAACCAUUCAUUAAAAAAAAAAAAGCAAACAACGAGGAUUUUUAAGCAAUGCGAGCGUGUCCUGCGAUACGACUGACAGCUGCUGCUUUUUCACCCGGUGGCUCUUAAUGACAAACAGGUCUGUGUAGUUGCUGCGUGAGGCAGCUCCGUUACAACCCACAGCACGGGGAGCACUCCUCACCACCAGGAACUUCCCAGUUGUAGAGGCGUACAAACAUCAGCAGCCCAAGUAAUAACAGCAGCCAGGGCUUUCUUAUUAGCUACUCAUAAUUUAAUUUUGCUGUGAAGGAUUUACCGGUUACAUCGAAUUAAUAUAUCGGCUGAUGAUUUUACUAUUUAACAUCUAAUUGACCAUGAAGACAUACAUGAAGACUUCAAAAAUCAUAAUUCAGACUUUGCAGAUUUGCAGAGGUGUCUUUGGAUUUUGCAGAUCCGAGGUAUACCCUUUGGGAACUGUUUGCUUAUCAGUGAUGGUCCUGUCAAUAACAGCACUGCAAUCCCUUUCUUUUACGUGACGCCGAAGGAUAAUGUUGUGGCGGAUCUCCUGAAGGAUCCUGUGGCUUCUCUGACCCUGCCAGAGGCAGAUGGAAAUUUUUGCAGGUAACGAAAUGUUGUGUGUCCAGUACUAGCUUUGGUGAGAACAAACACAGACCUCAGAAUGAAACAGUGACAGCUUUAUGCUGGCCACCUUCACUGUCCUGUUCUUAUUUUUGGCGCACACCAUCAGCUACAAGCUCCUCCUUGGGUUUGUUUUGCAGUAAGUUACCCAGUAAAACAUCUUAAAGAAAAGCAGAAGUAGUAAUAGAUACCCAAGUAGUAUCACCUAAGUAUCAGCAUCAACAGCUGGAGACGCCUUCAACUUGCAUGUUAGCAUGCCCAGACUUCGAUCUCUUUUUGGAGGUGUUGACAUAAAACUUAGGUGUUGGAGAUCCAAUUACAGGCCACGGUGACCUGGUCAGUAAAGUCAGUAGACUUUCAAGGGCUGUAGGAGUCAAGGUGAAGCAGACACCCUUGCUCGGCUGAGCAGCUCUGGAGGCCCUGCUGGUUGGCUUGGUGGGGCUGUAGCUCUCCAGGGUCGAGAAGAGGAUCUUGUGUCACAUGUGUAAAGUGUAUGCAUGGAAACUCGAUGACGAUACAGUUUUCCCCGCCGUGCUUGUCUCCUUGGAAGAGACACGUCUGCGCCAUGUGUUUGUUUGCAGUCAGACCUGCGGCAAGCUUGGCUGGGUCGGCCUCGUGUGAAGUGCUAUUUCCAAAGGCCUCUUUACCCGACGAGGUAGGUGACACCAAAACUCUGUCAGACAGGACUCCGUUAGCAAAGCAGAUCUUGGCUGAUACUUCAAGGAAAUAGGUAGAGGAACUGGUGAGUAGGGGCUGCCUCAGAAAGAUAUGAGGCUGGAAGUGUUUACCCCAACUUAAGGUCCUCUUUUUUUUGGGGAAGAAAGUUUUGUCUUAAGAGCCGGAUCCCAGACUUACGCCCAAGACAACCCCCAGCUGGGUCAUCUCAACUUCCAAGCCUGCAAGCCGAGAAGAAAACUGGAAAAAAGCAGUGAAUGGCAAGUGGAAGGCGCUCCCACUGUCACCUCCAGUACGUACUCUUCAUCACAGCACUUACUGAGGUUUCUGCUGGGUUAGCAACUUGCAGCAGCUCACCAAAAGCCAGAGGAGCACGAAGGAGAGGGGAGAGGAGAAGGUGAGGGAAAAUAGGCCACCCCCAUUCCUGCAUGUAACCCUACUCUAAAUAUUGAGCUUACUGCUGAACUGAGCACAGAGAUGUGGAGUCAAAUCACUGCUCUUUGCAUUAUUUAUUUCGUCAUUACGUUCAGUUUGGUUUUCAUUAUUUCUGGAGUUCUUGCCUGUCACCGAUGUUGGUUGGCAUUAAAGGAGAAAAUAUCAGAUAAAGAGAGUGAAAAGCUGGGGCAUUUGGCAAGCUGCUGUUUGCAUUUUUGAUGGCUAGCAAAGCGAGAAGGCUUUGGGGCCGUCUCACAGUCAGCAAGGAUGCAGGCACUGCGAGCUUAACUUUCUUCUUCCCCUCCCCUAUGUAACCAGGGUCAGAAAUGAGUUUACGUUUUAAGCUAGGAGAGCAACCUCACAGGGAACAUCCACAGUGCGGGGUUUCGUGUGGUGUCUUAGCUUCUGUCCAGCAGGUUUCUUUCUCUUUACUCAGGCGAAAUGAGAGGCCAGACCUGUUAUUCUGGCAGACCUCGGACUGUGCUAGGUAUUAGGACAGCACCCGUGGAGAUUUUGUCACAAAGGGAAGUGUCAUUUAUAUUUUUUAAUACCCAAAUUUUCUCUGGGGCAAGGGCAACAUUAAUUGUUUUGGUUCCAAAAUAAGCAUGCAAAAUAGCUAAACGAAUAACGCUCUACGUGAGAAAGUUCGCGUCCUUGUAUGCCAGCAAUGAAUUUGGCCCUGCAGCCUGCUUUCAGGUAGAAUUUUAGUAGAAUUUCAUUAUUAACCUACCCUGAGUUGUAAGAAUUAAAAUAACUGAAAGCUGUUUGAUGCCUGUAGUCAGUGCUCUUGGGAGCACUUGGCACUCUCCUGAAACACGCUUCUGACCUAUUGCAUACAGAAGAAAUCUCUGGCCUUUAGAAAGAAAACACAGCUGACAUUUCAAUAGUCUUGUAUCUAAUCAAGUGGCCUGUGUGCCCGUGCAUCAGCCUGAUAUUAAGUUUAUUUAGUAGCGAAUUUCAUUUGUUUUGUUUCAGCACAUGCUCAAGUUUCAAACCUGGACAAUGAAUAUUCCCAUUCGUGGGGCUGUGAGGAGCAUAGGGCGGCCUUCUUGGUUUUCCAGCCUCAGUGUUUAAUCAGCUGGAGAGAAAAUUUGCAAAGCCCCAGCCAGUACAAAACUAACUUUUAAUAACAAAAGAAAGAGAGCAGCGAUGCAUCGGGAUAGGCAGCAGUUGCGGGACAUGAUGCUGUGGCAGCUCCAGCCUGGGUUCCUCCUCUCUGACCCAGAGAUUUCCAUUUCCCAGGGGGAGACGAGCUGCGCCUCGCUGCAGACACCCUCUGAUGCUCAGCCUACAGAGAGGGUUAGUUAGCCGCUGAUCUGACAGCUGAUAAAUGGGUAACAGAGGCAAGAAAAAUGAAAUGGUUCAGGGCUAUAAAUAGACAGAGCUGGCAUGCUUAUUCCACAUAAAAACCGAAAAGAUUGAGUCCUAUUCUUACGGAUUUCAGAGGGAACAAGACCGAACCCUGCAGUAAAGAAUAGAGGGGCGAUUGUUCUGAAUGGAUUUCCCAACACACAAGCUUCUCAGAGGAUCUCUCUUUCCAAGUAAGCUCCUGGGCCUGCCUCAUUACAGUUCAGGCUGGAAAACAGGCAAUUAAUUUCAAACAAGUGUCGUCUCCUUGACAUCAGGUUCAGCACGUUCAUAGGGACUGAGUCAAGGCAGCUUUCCUAGAGGAGGAACAGUUACACGGCUGCCAUGAACUGAUGUUCACACAAGGGGAAGAGAAAGAGAAGUGAUGAGCUGUAGGGCCAGUCCAUAUGUCUGUUUUCCUUUCUGUUAGCCUGAGGAUGGUGUUUUAAAUCCACUCUGCGGACUGGGAGUGAUUCUGAGUGACCCAGAUCCCUCUGUCAGGCUAAAGCAUCUCCAGCGUUUCUGGACAGCAGCAGGCCACAGGAAGGACUGCUAGAGGAAAGUACUUCAGCAGGUGAGGGUCCCUUCUGGGUGCUUGGUCGCUGGCAUACACAAAUUUCUGACUUUAUUCCCAGGCAGAUAGACCAGCAAUGGGUGGCAGGUGCGACCUCUGAGGGGUCUGUUGGCCAUCCAACGUUUAUCUGCCUCUGGGCGCUGUCUGUUAAUGCAAGGAUGAAUAAAACAAAGAAAUUUGGUGGUGUGCUUUCACGCAAGGAGAAAUUACGCGUGCGGAAGACAACGGCUGAAUCCAGACAUCCAUCCCGCAUUUUUUGAGGAGUUGAGAUCCACCUCCUGUUUCUGUGGCACAGACACAUUUCUAUUCCUGGUAUUUGUAUUGGUCCUCUUUAGUCAUAUGCAAAUAAUUAUGUCAGUAGCAGUUCCUGAAAAAUCUGUAUUUAAAAAUUCAGGAAGAUACCAAAUUAGAAAGUCAAACAUGAAACCUACUAUCAUCGUGACCCAAUGCACACAAUACAGCUCUAAAUUACUGUUUUUUUUUAUCCCUGUAUGCUUAAAUAACCAACUUCCCAAAAUCCCUGUCUAGAUCACUAAUAUGUGUUUCUCUGAGUUUGCUUACAGAAAUAGCUGAUGCUGUGAUUCUUUCUUUUUUCUUUUUUCCUGUGAAUUGUCUGUGGUUAAACUAUAUAAAACCUGGCUGAAAUAUGCAGUUCAGCUAAAGAAAUGAGUUGUUAUUGUGAACAAAGAUAGACAAAGAGACUGACUUGAUGUAAUAAAUUAUAAUUAAAACAAUCUAGAAAUUAUAAUCUUCUAGGAACAGCAAAAUGACCUAAAACUUUCAGACAGGUAGGCUAUGAACACCGACUCCCUUCAAUGCAGAAGAGGCAUUGUACCAGCACUCUUCAGUUCCCAAGGCAGCUCUUCCAAAAGCCAAGAUGCCUUUUAACUCUCUUUGCUGGCUCUCAGACACGGCUGAUAAAGAUAUUCUUGUCAAAGUCAGAGCAGGGCAAGGCGAAACUGCUCAGCCAUAUCCAGCUGAAGGCCAGCAACAGCUUUUCAGAUUAUGAAAUUGCUUUCAGCGGAGAUUUUGUUUGACGUUUGUGCCAUGCAGAUUAGCAGCAGCGAUACGCUCUGUCUGCCUCAGAGACAGUGAGGAGACAAUAAAAUGAACGAGGAGGAAAACUAGCUUUUGAAAAUUAAUGCCAUUUAAUAAUCGAAAUUAUAUGCGCUGUACAAUAAUUCUCAAAGGACAUAACGUUUCUUCCAUUCCUUCAUAUAAAUGGAUAAAAAAGGACAAAAAAAAUAUGAUGCCAUACUAGUUACUUUCUGGUUACUUCCUAUUUUGGGGCAGGACGAACAGGGGUCCUUUACAGGGUGACAGAGUCCCUGCCUUAAGUCAGUGGGAGGCAGCAGGGCUCAGCCAGUCCCCACCUCCAAAUGGCAUGGCUUUGUAUGGCCACGGGGCCACUGCUGCAGGAGAGGUGAGGGUGUGUGGACACCCACUGCCCUUACGCCACAGAUGAGGUGCUUUAAAGUAGCAAGAGUAGAAAUAGGGCUUUCUUCUUGGCUCCUGGGUCUGCCUUUCUGCAAUAGGAGAAGGCUCUUUUCCAACUUCUCUCUUCUUUCUGCUUAAAAGUAGAAAAGUAAAGUAACGUUUUUUCAUGGAAGGAUGGAAGGUCCUGUCUCCUCAGGGGAGAGGAGGAUGGCAGCUCCUCAGUGGGAAAAGCAAGCUGGGGAGGAUGAGAGAUUCCCAUCCAUAAGCCUCUGCUUCCUCCACCAGUCCCUGGUGCACCAUGAGCCCUCCCACCUUCUUCCUAGCGAUUCCUUCUCAGGGACACUUGAUUCUCCUUAUUGAAUGAUUCCUGAACUCUUUUACUGCUGAUCUGUGCCAGAUCUGUUUCAGCUCACUAAUGGACUGCAGAGGCCAAGGAUGAAGAUGAAUACCCAGUGAAACCAGGAGACAGAGCAUCGACAGUCAAGGCAGGGAUCUAGAGAUCUCAGCUGCAGAAGGGAGUCCUCACAGAGUCCCAACAUCAUCACCUUGUGAGCCAAUUUAACUGCAUCAGCCUGAGUUGUACGUUCAUCAGAUCUGCACUUAGAUGGUUUUGGUGCAGGAACCUUCUAAUUAAAAUCUACGAGAUGGCUGGUGUAAUAAACAAUUUAAUGAGUAGGUGGCAGUCUUUACCCUGAACCGUUCUUGAACCGUGACUCAGAAAGUGCAGAAGUGGUGAGCAGUAGAGUAAGCGGGGCGUGUUCAGCAGCAGCAUGCUCCCCAUCAUUGUCAGGAAACAAAUUUCGCUUGGACACAGGCUUGUCCAUAAGCUCAGUAAAGCUGGCACCUUGGUAAGAUGGUACUUUGUAGGCCAGCUGCAAAUGCAGCUCGCUCUCUAACUCCUUGUGCCCAGAAGAGACAACUGCCCAGACUGGGUCAGACUUUGCAUACGAAGUUUGCUCACCAAGCAGAGGAAGAGGAACGGAGGUGAUCAAUUCUCUCUUCACCAAUCAGAUGAAUAAUUAAGAGAAGCUCUCUUAAUGCAUCGUGUUCUUAUAAAAUGCAUAAGCUGAAUCCUCCUCCAUUGUCAUCUGGCUUCAGUUAACUUCUGCAACAGAGUGUAUGUAUUUCAUAUCAGCAUAAAUAAAUAAAUGUGUUCCCUAUUGA